rnacentral:tRNA from 1 species
GGGGUUGUGGCUCAGUGGUAGAGCACUUCUCUGUCAUGUGAGGCACUGAGUUUGAUCCUCAGCACCACA